rfam:Glycine soja cultivar W05 scaffold5718_10, whole genome shotgun sequence.
GGGCUGUGAUGAGAUCUAGAGAAAGUCAUGCACCACUCUGAUGUUUCAGUGCUGAUAAUUUUCUCAUACCCAUAUUCAAUCUGAGCUC